UAAACACAAGCAUACAGGCAUCAACUGGCAGGAGAUCAUGUACAAUAUUAACCUCUAUACUAUAAUCAAGAAAACCAUGUAUUACAGUUGUAUAAAGAAAUUAUGUAUGCACAUUAAAUAUCCGUACAUUACAUAUCCAUUAUCAACUCGCAUUACUGCGGCUACAUUACAAGAAACAAAACUAAUAACAAAGCAAUUACAACUGCAAUAAACUUUGAAUGUUGAUGGAUGCUUAAUUGAAACAGAGUCAGGACCUGGAGAACCAUUCUAUCUUCACAAUAGCAUCAUGUUUAAACAAUUAAUCAGAAAUUUUAAAUCUUCAUCGUGGCUGGUCUCACCAGUCCCAAUCCUGAACCACUACCUAAAUGUUUGAAGUCCGUUGCUAAAAGAUUAUCUCCAUGACCAGCAUAGCCUGUUCCACCCUUUUCCAAGUUCACCAAAUUCCUUGCCUUACACACCUUGUUGCAAACAAGACAAACUUUAUCCACAGCCAUAAAUUUGUCUGCGCACUUCUUGCAGAAGACAUGCCCACAUGAACUGAGUGCAACCAGUGAGAGUGUAUUUGUAAGAGUAACCUUGCAGCUGGCACAGAUAUAGGUCUUAUCAAGAGCACUGGAUUUCUUUUCACUAUUGUCUUCUGUGAGAUAGAUGGGGAAAAGGCUCUUCAUCUUAAGCUUUUCCUUGCCUUCUGGACAGAUUGUACUUGUGGAGGGGGCUUCUGUUUUAACAGGAGCUUCUGGUGUAGCUGAGGGCAGCCAAAAUGCUUUCAUUGUUCGAAGUGCCUCCUCUUCAUAGGAAGUCACCUUCACACUGUUUGCCCCAUGGAAGCCAUUCUUGUCUCGGCUCUGGUUUCUAUCACUGUACUGUGGAACUGCACCAUGGUUUUGCUGAUCAAAAGCAUCCAGUUCUCUGGUUUUCUGCAACAUUAACUUCUCUUCCUCCUCUUCCUUCUCUUGUUUCUUCUGUGAUUCAUGGGCAGCUAGCUUCCUGCUAGGUAAGAUCAAAGCUUGCUCCUCAAUGCAGCAUAUCAAUGUUUAAAUGAUAAAUGAUUUGUCACACAAUGCCACAUAUAAAGAGUUUGCAUACGCUGUCUUAUAUACUAAGCAAACAUCCCAAUAAAAUGCCCGAGGCUUUCCCACUAAAUCUACUGUACGGUAUAUAAAGCUAAGCUAGUCUUUUCACAUCAACAACCCUCAGCGAUAGGCAUUAUGAACAGCACAAGAAAGCCUAUCUCAAGUGUGCAGUUUUGAUCGUCAUAAUCUACCAGCCUUUUGGAUAGACCUCCUAAGUUUCUCCAAAUAAGCCAGAAGUGUAACUAUCUACUUGCAUAUCACUUGUUCCCAAACUAAUGCAAUCACCAACAAAAAUUUUAAGAAACAAGCUUGGGAAAAGAUAACCAAUUUUUCUUAACAUCAAUUCAGAUCAAAUUUGCUCAACGUUAAUUCAAAUCACCAUUCGAUGAUUCCUCAAGAAAUAGUAACUCAUCAUAUCAAUCAUAUGCCCAUAACUACGCUUACUAAAAUUGAAUCUACCACUGCACUAAUCUAAAUUAUCACGAAUCGAACUUGUUUCGUAAUUGUUUAGCUGUUUAGCUCCUAUUUUCUGUGUUCAGUCUAUACCAAAACAAAGGUCUCCAUCAAACAAAGCCUAUUGUGAGCGUUCAACGCGGUGGAAAUCGAAUCCUAUUCAGUUGACGCGCUAUAAUAUUACCAAAGCCAAAAUUAAAAACACAACUUUCGUUCAAUGCGAUAAACUCAACUUACCUUUGGAUGUCCUUCUUUUGGGCUAAAAGACACUCGAGAAUGCAUUCUUUGCAGAAGACGUGGCCUUUCUGGCAAGACAUGGGAUCGAUAAGCGGUUUCAAGCAGAGACAGCAGGCAUCGAAGGGCUUAAUCGAGUCCUUACCCAACCUUUCCCUCUGGGUCCCGUAUCCGAGCUUUUGCUUCUCAUCGUAGGUGAAGAAAGCUAAAUCGUUAUUGUUCUUCGAGUGUCUCUGAGGCAUCUUAUCGUCGCUCCUUUUGACACGUGUCCCGAGAAGACGAAACUCACGCACCUCCACUUGGCCUUUCUCUGCUCUUCCUCCUUCUACUGUCGCACUUUCCCUUCUCUUCCGAAUAGUCCUCUCAAUUUCUUCUCAAUCCCAACGCAAUAUCCAAAUCCGCAAAGCUCCAUUGAAGCUGCAGUUUUUAUUUUUUAUUUUUUUGAAUUUUACUUGCAGCCAUGACUUCGCCGUUGCCGAAGAAGAAAGACCCAGCAGCUGAAGCCGUCGUGGUCCAACCAUCAUCUCCGCGAUUUCCUGUUAGUACUCCAACAUCGGCGGCUCAACGGAGAAUCGGCAUUGCCGUCGAUCUCAGCGAUGAGAGC
rnacentral:misc_RNA from 1 species